rnacentral:rRNA from 1 species
UACGUAGGGUGCGAGCGUUAAUCGGAAUUACUGGCGUAAAGCGUGCGCAGGCGGUUUUGUAAGCCAGAUGUGAAAGCCCCGGGCUUAACCUGGGAAUGGCAUUUGGGACUGCAAGGCUUGAGUGCGGCAGAGGAGACUGGAAUUCCUGGUGUAAGCAGUGGAAAUGCGUAGAUAUCAGGGAGGAAUACCGACGGCGAAGGCAGGUCUCUGGGCUGAGCACUGACGCUCGAUGACACGGAAAGCGUGGGGAGCAA